rnacentral:rRNA from 1 species
AACGAACGCUGGCGGCAUGCCUAACACAUGCAAGUCGAACGAAGGCUUCGGCCUUAGUGGCGCACGGGUGCGUAACGCGUGGGAACCUGCCCCUCGGUUCGGAAUAACAGUUAGAAAUGACUGCUAAUACCGGAUGAUGACUUCGGUCCAAAGAUUUAUCGCCGAGGGAUGGGCCCGCGUAGGAUUAGCUAGUUGGUGGGGUAAAGACCUACCAAGGCGACGAUCCUUAGCUGGUCUGAGAGGAUGAUCAGCCACACUGGGACUGAGACACGGCCCAGACUCCUACGGGAGGCAGCAGUGGGGAAUAUUGGACAAUGGGCGAAAGCCUGAUCCAGCAAUGCCGCGUGAGUGAUGAAGGCCUUAGGGUUGUAAAGCUCUUUUACCAGGGAUGAUAAUGACAGUACCUGGAGAAUAAGCUCCGGCUAACUCCGUG